GGAAAAAAUAAAUUCAUGGCUUAAGUACAGUUAAGACCGAUUAGGUGGAAGAAAGGACAGAGCCGAGAAGCAGAGAGACUCACUUUCCAGUUUGGUUUUACCGGUGUUGUCCUUUGUUGGUUUUCUUCUUUUCUUUCAUCCCGUUUUCAGAAACACAAGUGGAAGAAGUUCUUCAUUUAACUGACAGUGACUGAACAACAUGCCAUUUCAGGCACUAUAUUCUUUAAAUUUAAACCGGAUUUCAAAUCUUCGUAUUUACAUUUAAAUUUUAUUUCAGAUGUUUUUUUAAACUUGUAAUUUUAGACACCAGGAAAACAUAAUUAAAGAUUGUACACUAAAUCAUUAUUUUUAAAUUUAGGCUUUUAUGCACCUACUAAAUUUGAUAAAAUUGUGAUAGGCCUAUUAAUAAUAAAAAUGCAUAAAGCCACACGAAUACAAUGGCUUGAUCAUCUUGGACUUUCUUCCAGUGUACUAUCUCAAUGACCCAGACUGAGUUUAAGAAUUUUUUUUAAAUGCACAGAAUAUCAUGUCAUUUUUGUUUUGAGUUUAAAUCAACCAUUAGUGUAUUACGCCUAAUUGAUAUAGACUCUAGUAUAUGUUAUGUAUACAUACUAUAGUAUAUACAUUCAUUUAUCGUAAUAAAAUAAUAAAGUGAAAGAUUUUAUUGUAUUGGGUACUUUCUUUUAAAACGCUAGAAUAAUCUAUGUUACUAUCUAUUUUUUUAUAGUUUUAAAUUCCAUCAAUA